GGUGAGUAACACGUAGGCAACCUGCCUGUAAGACUGGGAUAACUCGCGGAAACGCGAGCUAAUACCGGAUAAUACUUAUCAUCUCCUGAUGGUAAGUUGAAAGGCGGCUUUUGCUGUCACUUACAGAUGGGCCUGCGGCGCAUUAGCUAGUUGGUGGGGUAACGGCUCACCAAGGCGACGAUGCGUAGCCGACCUGAGAGGGUGAUCGGCCACACUGGGACUGAGACACGGCCCAGACUCCUACGGGAGGCAGCAGUAGGGAAUCUUCCGCAAUGGACGAAAGUCUGACGGAGCAACGCCGCGUGAGUGAUGAAGGUUUUCGGAUCGUAAAACUCUGUUGUCGGGGAAGAACAAGUAGGAUAGUAACUGAUCGUACCUUGACGGUACCCGACCAGAAAGCCACGGCUAACUACGUGCCAGCAGCCGCGGUAAUACGUAGGUGGCAAGCGUUGUCCGGAAUUAUUGGGCGUAAAGCGCUCGCAGGCGGUUCUUUAAGUCUGAUGUGAAAUCUUGCGGCUCAACCGUAAACGUGCAUUGGAAACUGGAGGACUUGAGUGCAGAAGAGGAGAGUGGAAUUCCACGUGUAGCGGUGAAAUGCGUAGAGAUGUGGAGGAACACCAGUGGCGAAGGCGACUCUCUGGUCUGUAACUGACGCUGAGGAGCGAAAGCGUGGGGAGCGAACAGGAUUAGAUACCCUGGUAGUCCACGCC
rnacentral:rRNA from 1 species